ensembl:lncRNA
CAACAAAGUCCUUUAUAUUUCAUCCAGUAAACAGACACAGAGCACCUGAGGCUGCACAACACAAAGCUGAUUGGAGCUUCACCCAUGCCAAGGACGAGAACAGAAUUCCUAGAGAGAAGGAAGAGUGUCUCAAGGAGCUCAACUGUGCUGCAGAGCUCAUCAUCUGCAAAAUAGAUCACUCAUCAUCUGCAAAGAACUUGGAGAACCUGAAGCGACAUACACAGGAAAAUUGCCAGUCCUCUGUUCAGUAUUCAUGUGUUUCCCAAGCAACUACCUACUGACAAGCAAUUACAUCCAAUUUCUUAAUAGCAGAAAGCGGGAGGACUAUUCCUGCAUGAAAAAUGUGAAGACAAUGGAGGGGAAUCAGCCAUACUUACAAGCUUCAUGAUUUUCAUUUAAUUAACCAAGGCUUCUCCCGUGUUUUUGAAUAGACUGCUAUUAAUUUCAAGCCUUUGGGUAAUAUAAGAACUGGGAGCAAAGAAGGGGAAACAAAAAAUAAAAAAUAAAAACCACAAGUAAACACAGACCAUGUAUGUGUUUAAAACAAGAUUUUCAGACUUGUUUUGGAAAUAUCAAUGGAGAAUCCACCAUACCCCAGAGCUCCUAAUAACUUCCCCUUAUAUAUUUUAUAUUUGGCGUCCAAUCUGAAUUGUCUUGUUCCAGCUCUUAAUCAAUCACUGUUUCAACAUUUUCUACUGGAAUAAAAAAAAAUUAACUGAUUUAUAGUAUAUAACUUGAGUG